rnacentral:rRNA from 1 species
UACGUAGGGUGCUAGCGUUGUCCGGAAUCAUUGGGCGUAAAGCGCGCGUAGGCGGCCCGGUAAGUCCGCUGUGAAAGUCAAAGGCUCAACCUUUGAAUGUCAGCGGAUACUGCCGGGCUAGAGUCCGGAAGAGGCGAGUGGAACUCCUGGUGUAGCGGUGAAAUGCGUAGAUAUCUGGAGGAACACCGGUGGCGAAGGCGGCAUCCUGGACCGACACUGACGCUGAGGAGCGAAAGCCAGGGGAGCAAACAGG